rnacentral:rRNA from 1 species
GUUCGCCUACGGGGCGCAGCAGUAGGGAAUAUUGCUCAAUGGGGGAAACCCUGAAGCAGCAACGCCGCGUGGAGGAUGAAGGUUUUCGGAUUGUAAACUCCUUUUGUUAGAGAAGAUAAUGACGGUAUCUAACGAAUAAGCACCGGCUAACUCCGUGCCAGCAGCCGCGGUAGUACGGAGGGUGCAAGCGUUACUCGGAAUCACUGGGCGUAAAGAGCGCGUAGGCGGGAUAGCAAGUCAGAUGUGAAAUCCUAUGGCUUAACCAUAGAACUGCAUUUGACACUGUUAUUCUAAAGUAUGGGUGG